GGGGGACGGAGAAGGCUAUGUUGGCCGGGCGACGGUUGUCCCGGUUUAAGCGUGUAGGCUGGUUUUCCAGGCAAAUCCGGAAAAUCAAGGCUGAGGCGUGAUGACGAGGCACUACGGUGCUGAAGCGACAAAUGCCCUGCUUCCAGGAAAAGCCUCUAAGCAUCAGGUAACAUCAAAUCGUACCCCAAACCGACACAGGUGGUCAGGUAGAGAAUACCAAGGCGCUUGAGAGAACUCGGGUGAAGGAACUAGGCAAAAUGGUGCCGUAACUUCGGGAGAAGGCACGCUGAUAUGUAGGUGAAGCGACUUGCUCGUGGAGCUGAAAUCAGUCGAAGAUACCAGCUGGCUGCAACUGUUUAUUAAAAACACAGCACUGUGCAAACACGAAAGUGGACGUAUACGGUGUGACGCCUGCCCGGUGCCGGAAGGUUAAUUGAUGGGGUUAGCGGUAACGCGAAGCUCUUGAUCGAAGCCCCGGUAAACGGCGGCCGUAACUAUAACGGUCCUAAGGUAGCGAAAUUCCUUGUCGGGUAAGUUCCGACCUGCACGAAUGGCGUAAUGAUGGCCAGGCUGUCUCCACCCGAGACUCAGUGAAAUUGAACUCGCUGUGAAGAUGCAGUGUACCCGCGGCAAGACGGAAAGACCCCGUGAACCUUUACUAUAGCUUGACACUGAACAUUGAGCCUUGAUGUGUAGGAUAGGUGGGAGGCUUUGAAGUGUGGACGCCAGUCUGCAUGGAGCCGACCUUGAAAUACCACCCUUUAAUGUUUGAUGUUCUAACGUGGGCCCCUUACCGGGGUUGCGGACAGUGUCUGGUGGGUAGUUUGACUGGGGCGGUCUCCUCCUAAAGAGUAACGGAGGAGCACGAAGGUUGGCUAAUCCUGGUCGGACAUCAGGAGGUUAGUGCAAUGGCAUAAGCCAGCUUGACUGCGAGCGUGACGGCGCGAGCAGGUGCGAAAGCAGGUCAUAGUGAUCCGGUGGUUCUGAAUGGAAGGGCCAUCGCUCAACGGAUAAAAGGUACUCCGGGGAUAACAGGCUGAUACCGCCCAAGAGUUCAUAUCGACGGCGGUGUUUGGCACCUCGAUGUCGGCUCAUCACAUCCUGGGGCUGAAGUAGGUCCCAAGGGUAUGGCUGUUCGCCAUUUAAAGUGGUACGCGAGCUGGGUUUAGAACGUCGUGAGACAGUUCGGUCCCUAUCUGCCGUGGGCGCUGGAGAACUGAGGGGGGCUGCUCCUAGUACGAGAGGACCGGAGUGGACGCAUCACUGGUGUUCGGGUUGUCAUGCCAAUGGCACUGCCCGGUAGCUAAAUGCGGAAGAGAUAAGUGCUGAAAGCAUCUAAGCACGAAACUUGCCCCGAGAUGAGUUCUCCCUGACUCCUUGAGAGUCCUGAAGGAACGUUGAAGACGACGACGUUGAUAGGCCGGGUGUGUAAGCGCAGCGAUGCGUUGAGCUAACCGGUACUAAUGAACCGUGAGGCUUAACCUU
rnacentral:rRNA from 1 species